CCUGGGCCAGAGGCAACAGAGCCGCCCUGGCCACAGAGGGGCAAGCGGGCAGCGGCACAGCAGCACUUUGUGGAGCUGGUGAUGGUGGUGGACCACGCUGCGUUCCAGCGUUACCCCAACCUGCAGCGCGUUCACACGCGGGCCCUGGAAAUCGCCA